CGGGGGGGGCACGGAGGGUAAGGAAAAUCCUACAAACAUAUUUAUUUAUUUUUAGUGCUUUUCUAAGACUUUAGUGAUAGUUUUCAAAAAUAAUAUAGAGAUGUUAAGUUUGAAGUAGAAGUACCCAUGAAUUAAAAAGCAUAAAAGCUACAUAUAUUACAUUUAAGUCUUUUUAAUAAUAUAAAGCUUUUUACUGUCUUAACCAACUUGUAUUUAGAAUUAGGGUUUGAGUGUAUCUUUGAAAUUUAAAGCAGAAAUUUUUGCUCUUUCUCUAAUACUUGUCUUCUGUGGCAUUUAAAACAGAGGAAGAAUUUAUAAUACUUAUAGUUGGUUUUAGUUAUUAAAAUGUGGCAAUUAUAUACCUAAGAUAUGUCUAUAAAACAAAUCUCUGCUAGAGCAGAGAAUCUUAAAACACAAAACAAAUCCAGGUAAUCUCAGUCUCAGCUCUGCUUUCCUCUGAGUGCUGCUGGGUCCGUAGUAGUGUAUUUAUAAUUUAUGUCCAAAGACUUGAAGAACAACUUGCUGGAGUAAAGUAUCAUUGUUUUGUAGAGGAAGUUAAAGAAAUAGCCCAUUGAUUCAUUUGCUGUAUAAUUAAUUGUUUAC
rnacentral:lncRNA from 1 species